rnacentral:rRNA from 1 species
GACGUAGGGCGCGAGCGUUGUCCGGAUUUAUUGGGCGUAAAGAGCUCGUAGGCGGCUUGUCGCGUCGUGUGUGAAAUCUCAGGGCUCAACUCUGACAUUGCAUACGAUACGGGCAGGCUUGAGUUCGGUAGGGGGAGACUGGAAUUCCUGGUGUAGCGGUGAAAUGCGCAGAUAUCAGGAGGAACACCGGUGGCGAAGGGCGGGUCUCUGGGCCGAUGACUGACGCUGAGGAGCGAAAGCGUGGGGAGCAAACAGG